GGGGAUUUAGCUCAGUGGCAUAAGCGCCUGCCUUGCAAGCAGGCAGUCGUGAGUUCGAUUCCCAGUAUCGAUA
rnacentral:tRNA from 1 species